rnacentral:rRNA from 1 species
GGACGACGGCGACGGGUGAGUACACGUGAGCAACCUGCCCCAGCUUUGGGAUAACCCUCGGAAACGGGGGCUAAUACCGAAUAGGACUGCUGGCCGCAUGGCUGGUGGUGGAAAGUUUUUCGGCUUGGGAUGGGCUCGCGGCCUAUCAGCUUGUUGGUGGGGUGAUGGCCUACCAAGGCGACGACGGGUAGCCGGCCUGAGAGGGCGACCGGCCACACUGGGACUGAGACACGGCCCAGACUCCUACGGGAGGCAGCAGUGGGGAAUAUUGCACAAUGGGCGGAAGCCUGAUGCAGCGACGCCGCGUGAGGGAUGACGGCCUUCGGGUUGUAAACCUCUUUCAGCAGGGACGAAGCGAGAGUGACGGUACCUGCAGAAGAAGCACCGGCCAACUACGUGCCAGCAGCCGGAGGGUAAUACG